rnacentral:sRNA from 1 species
GCGGCUGCUUCUACCAGAAGAAAGAGGAGGACUGGAUCUGCUGCGCCUGCCAGAAGACCAGAUUGAAAAGGAAGAUCAGGCCAACCCCAAAGAAGAAGUGACCAAGGAGGAGUUUAAACUGAAUGAACAACCUCGGCUCCUGGACUCAUUGCUUCACAACCCAUCUACCCCUGGAUGAAGUUAUCUGGCUUCAAAUAUUAUGCAGGGGCAAACACCUGCUGAUGCGGCAACUGCUGAUGCUCAUGGUCCCCAUGGCAUGGGGGCCUCAGGGCAGCCUGCCUGGAGUUUACUACCAUCAAGUUCAGUGCUUUGACUUUGAUCAACUGACUGGGUUUAUCCAAAGUACAGCACUUUGAAGAUGUCAUCCCAUUGUCUUCUGACCUCUAUAAUUGCCACUGAGAGAUCUGCUGUCAGUCUGCUUAUCCUUCCACGGACUCAAGUUUCUUCAAUCUGAAGAUACAUGUCUUUCUCCAGGGACAUGUGGAAAAAAAAAAGAUGUUAUACAACCAUCAAAGUGGCAAAAAUAAAAAAAAUCAAGUAUUGGC